rnacentral:rRNA from 1 species
ACGGGUGAGUAACACGUGGGUAACCUGCCCUGUACUCUGGGAUAAGCCUUGGAAACGAGGUCUAAUACCGGAUAUGACCCUUGAUCGCAUGAUCUGGGGUGGAAAGUUCCGGCGGUAUGGGAUGGACCCGCGGCCUAUCAGCUUGUUGGUGGGGUAAUGGCCUACCAAGGCGACGACGGGUAGCCGGCCUGAGAGGGUGACCGGCCACACUGGGACUGAGACACGGCCCAGACUCCUACGGGAGGCAGCAGUGGGGAAUAUUGCACAAUGGGCGAAAGCCUGAUGCAGCGACGCCGCGUGAGGGAUGACGGCCUUCGGGUUGUAAACCUCUUUCAGCAGGGACGAAGCGCAAGUGACGGUACCUGCAGAAGAAGCACCGGCUAACUACGUGCCAGCAGCCGCGGUAAUACGUAGGGUGCGAGCGUUGUCCGGAAUUAUUGGGCGUAAAGAGCUCGUAGGCGGUUUGUCGCGUCGGCCGUGAAAACUUGGGGCUUAACCCCGAGCCUGCGGUCGAUACGGGCAGACUUGAGUUCGGCAGGGGAGACUGGAAUUCCUGGUGUAGCGGUGAAAUGCGCAGA